GACGAACGCUGGCGGCGUGCCUAAUACAUGCAAGUAGAACGCUGAAGGAGGAGCUUGCUUCUCUGGAUGAGUUGCGAACGGGUGAGUAACGCGUAGGUAACCUGCCUGGUAGCGGGGGAUAACUAUUGGAAACGAUAGCUAAUACCGCAUAAUAUUGACUAUUGCAUGAUAGUCAGUUGAAAGGUGCAACUGCACCACUACCAGAUGGACCUGCGUUGUAUUAGCUAGUUGGUGGGGUAACGGCUCACCAAGGCGACGAUACAUAGCCGACCUGAGAGGGUGAUCGGCCACACUGGGACUGAGACACGGCCCAGACGCCUACGGGAGGCAGCAGUAGGGAAUCUUCGGCAAUGGACGGAAGUCUGACCGAGCAACGCCGCGUGAGUGAAGAAGGUUGUCGGAUCGUAAAGCUCUGUUGUAAGAGAAGAACGAGUGUGAGAGUGGAAAGCUCACACUGUGACGGUAUCUUACCAGAAAGGGACGGCUAACUACGUG
rnacentral:rRNA from 1 species